UCCGCCUCAUCUUCACAUCAGUCCCCAUCCCAGCAUCUUCUCUUUUACUGUUCUCACCAUGACUCUUGUGUCCUCUUUUCUUCUUUGUUUCACCAUCCCGUCUGUUUUGUCGUUCUGUGGUUUCCACGUCUUUUCUAAUCGCUCAAGCUGUCCCAUCUGACUGUUGGUGGGGAAUGGGAUAAAACAAAAAGAUCCUGUUUGAGAUGAUGACGAAUAAAUUUCACUACCACCAUGGAAAGGAUAAGGAGAGCAAGUGCUCCACCCACUGAUGCACCAAUCGCAACCGCAAUUGUUGAGUCUCUCGGUGGGGGAACUGAUGGAAGCAAAGUAAAGGGUUAAGUAUAUCCAAUAGACGAGCGGGAGUGCAGUGCUGGCGAAAAGCUCUAAAAGGCUGAUUAAACAGAGUGGAAAGAAAGUGCUGGUGUUAGCCUGCCGUGGAGAAAGAUGCUGAAAGACUAAGUUCAACCUCUCGUUGACCAUUAAUAAACAAAAAGCUCACUCAAUGAGCAGAAGGUCCACAGCAUCAAUCAGUUAGUGUUUACAUGGUGGGAAAGAAUAUGGAAAACUAACUUAUCGUACAUGAAAAGGCCCAAUUGAAAUUGUACCAAAUCCAAUUUCUCAUUGAAGACUCCUGGCUCAAAGGCUUGAACUUUAGGCUAUUGGAACCACCAGUUGUGGAACCACCAAAAGUCAUAGACACCUCUAAGGUUGUACAAUUUGGAAUUUCAACCAACAUUCUCAAACAAGAUAUAAUUCGGGUACAAUUUGGAAUUUCAACCAACAUUCUCACACAAAAUAUAAGUCGGCCCUUUGGAAUUUCAACCAACAUUCUCACACAAGAUAUAAGUCGGCCCUUUGUCACGUAUGGUGUCCUAAUACCGCACAAGCCCUCAGUUGGACUCCUAUUUGGUUUUGUGAUAUAUUGUGAUAUACUGUACAUAUUUCAAAAGAAUGUGCAAGGGACCAACUAACUACUCUAUUAUCUGAGCUCUAGUGACUGCAUUUUUUAGGAUUUUGAUGUGUAUAUAUAUAUGUUUAUCCAGGAGUUAGGGUUAGUAUCUUACGUUCAGUAAAAACCUUGAGCUUUAUGUCUCCAUGUCCAUGUAUGCGAUCUGGAGGAUUUAUCACAUAACAGUUGUAAAUCCCCUCAUCUUCCUCCUGUACAUCUAAUAGGGUGAUUGACAUGUCAUUCUUUUCCAGGUUUCCCGCAAACAGCACCCUAUCUCCAAACCGCUCUGGAAGCAAAGCCACCAUUCCUUUUUUCCU